rnacentral:misc_RNA from 1 species
GAAAUGCGAUAAGUAAUGUGAAUUGCAGAAUUCCGUGAAUCAUCGAAUCUUUGAACGCACAUUGCACCCCCUGGCAUUCCGGGGGGCAUGCCUGUCCGAGCGUCAUUUCUGCCCUCAAGCACGGCUUGUGUGUUGGGUGUGGUCCCCCCGGGGACCUGCCCGAAAGGCAGCGGCGACGUCCGUCUGGUCCUCGAGCGUAUGGGGCUCUGUCACUCGCUCGGGAAGGACCUGCGGGGGUUGGUCACCACCAUAUUUCACCACGGUUGACCUCGGAUCAGGUAGGAGUUACCCGCUGAACUUAAGC